AUCUAUUUCAAAUCAAGGAACCAAUAUGCCUGAUAAAGAUAAAUAAAUACUACACCCACUUAGAUAUUACACCACACAGAUCAAAGAUCUGAUAAAACUGGCCACCUUUGUUCUCCCGCCAUAUGUGCAUGACUAAUUUACUCCCUGGUCAUUCCUACAAAUCAGACUGUUCCAUGUGAUUAUUUUGGGGAGAGGUAACAUUACAAAUUUGAUUGAUAUGCAGAAUAUGUCUAGGACAUUGCAAUUUUUCUUCUUUAUUAAAUUCAUGAUUUUUUAAAUCUACUUUCUAUUAGCUAUUUGAUGUGGUUUUUUACAUUCAAUGAAUGUUAUAUAAAAUGAUAACUGCUUUGAUUUUUGGAUUAACCCUGUUUUACCUAAUGAUGUACCUGUCCAGUUUGAAUGGUCAGCUAGAAGCUUGGAAAUAGUGUAAAUUACAGAGGAGACUACUAUAUGUUUAAGCAAUUUUGGAGAUAUAGUUUCGUUUAAGAUGUUAAAGUGUUUAAGUUUAAUAAGUGUAGUUAUGGUUAAUAAGAAUGACAAGAAUCAGAAUCACCUGGGACAAGGAGAUAUACAACAGAAUCAGGCUUAAAGUGGGACCAGUUCUGAGUCUGACUCUGAGAUGCCAGGUGAAUAAUGAUGUGCAGUAUUGAGCCCCAAAAGAAAUAAUGAAGAGUGUCAAUCAGAGUGCCAACUGUUCAAGUCUGGGAGAUAAUCAGCUGGGAGAAAAUGACAGUUAUCCUGAGAGCAAAAUGAUGUUAAUGCCAUGCAGGGAAAGUUUGUUAACUUGUGAAUCAAAGCUAGUUUCUUUAGAUGCCAUCACAGUCAAACUUUUCAGUGUAUUUUUUCUCAAAUCUAUAAACUUUCCUGGAUCUUAAGUUCUAAUUUGCUGACAUUGGAAAUAGUGUGUAAUUUUUUCAUAAUACAUUUUUCUUUUGUUCUAAUCCCUUCAAUUAUAUGUAAUAAUCAUAUACAUAUAAAAUGUAAAAUAUGAUGAAAUAUUAAAAUAAAUAUUUUUAAACUAACUAAAUUUGUGCAUUAAAUUAGUAUUUCAAAGCAGCAUUUAUUAAGAUAUCAGCUUUUACUGUUUUCUACAUUUCUACAUGUCUGUCCUGAGAACAGGACAUUCCUGGGAUUAUGGGAUUGUCCUGAGAACAGGACAUUCCUGGGAUUAUGGGAUUGUCAUGGGAACAGGACAUUCCUGGGAUUAUGGGAUUAUCCUGGGAACAGGACAUUCCUGGGAUUAUAAGAUUGUCCUGGGAACAGGACAUUCCUGGGAUUAUGGGAUUGUCCUGGGAACAAGACAUUCCUGGGAUUAUGGGAUUGUCCUGGGAACAAGACAUUCUUGAGAUAGCAGAGCAAUAUUUUUUUCCUGUUUUUUCCUGUCUUCAAGAAAUUCAUGGGAUUGUCCAGUCCCAUUUAACGGCGUGAAAAAAGUCUCAGGAUUAUCUCAGGAAAUCCUGGGAUAUUUCCAGGACAAAUUCCUGAGACUUAUCAGGAAUUCCUGGGAUAGUCCCAGGACUUCUUGUUCAUUUUCUGCACGGGGAAUAUGUUUCUUUUCUCACUAAUUUUGUUUAUUAAGCAUUGAUGAUUCAAAUAAAAAUAAAAAUAUUUUGGUUAUCUUUUAUUUUCUUAGAAUUAUUUCCCUUUUUUCCCAUUUUCU